GCUAAAAAAAAAAUUUUUGGUGUUACCUGCCCAGUGAUUAAAAUAAUUAUUAUUGAAAUAAUAUUAACUUAUUAAACGGACGCAGUAUCUUGACUGUAAUAAUGUAGCAUAAUAAUUUGUCAUUUAAUUGAUGAAUAGUAUGAAUGGUAGAACGAAUAUUUCAUUGUUUUAAAAAAAACAUAUAUAAAAUUUGAAUAAUAGUUAAGAUACUAUUUAAAAUUGUAAGACGAAAAGACCCUAUAGAGCUUAACUAAAUAUUUAAUUACUAUUAAAUAAGUUAGUUUAGUUGGGGCGACUAUCUUUUAUUAUAAACAAAGAUAAACAAAAUUAAUAAAACAAUUUAUUGUAUAAUAUAUAACUUUAACAAUUAUAAAAAUAGGUUAUAAUGACCCGUUAUAUUAAAAUAAUUUAUAUAACGAUAAAUAAAUAAAAGCUACCUUAGGGAUAACAGAAUAAUUUUAACUAAAAGAUCAUAUUGAAGUUAAUGUUUAUCACCUCUAUGUUGAAUUAAGAUACCCAAAUAAUGCAGAAAUUAUUAAAGGUAGGUCUGUUCGACCUUAAAAAUCUU
rnacentral:rRNA from 1 species